rnacentral:rRNA from 1 species
GGGUAUCUGGAGUUCGGAAGAAGGUGAGUGGAAUUGCGAGUGUAGAGGUGAAAUUCCGUAGAUAUUCGCAGGAACACCAAGUGCGAAGCCGGGCCUCACUGGUCCCGAUACUGACGCCUGAGGUGCGAAAGCUUGGGGAGCAAACAAGGAUUAGAUACCCCUGGUAGUCCACGCCGGUAAACGAUGGAAGCUAGCCGUCGGGGGAUUAUCUUUCGGUGGCGCAGUUAACGCUUUAAGCUUCCCGCCUGGGGAGUACGGUCGCAAGAUUAAAACUCAAAGGAAUUGACGGGGGGCCCGCACAAGCGGUGGAGCAUGUGGUUUAAUUCGAGGCAAACGCGCAGAACCUUACCAGCUCUUGACAUGCCACGACGCCAUCCGGAGACGGGUGGUUUCCUUCGGGACGUGGACACAGGUGCUGCAUGGCUGUCGUCAGCUCGUGUCGUGAGAUGUUGGGUUAAGUCCCGCAACGAGCGCAACCCUCGCCCUUAGUUGCCAGCAUUCAGUUGGGCACUCUAAGGGGACUGCCGGUGAUAAGCCGAGAGGAAGGUGGGGAUGACGUCAAGUCCUCAUGGCCCUUACGGGCUGGGCUACACACGUGCUACAAUGGCGGUGACAGUGGGCAGCCAGCCAGCGAUGGUGAGCUAAUCCCCAAAAGCCGUCUCAGUUCGGAUUGCACUCUGCAACUCGAGUGCAUGAAGUUGGAAUCGCUAGUAAUCGUGGAUCAGCAUGCCACGGUGAAUACGUUCCCGGGCCUUGUACACACCGCCCGUCACACCAUGGGAGUUGGUUCUACCCGAAGGCGUUGCGCUAACUCGCAAGAGAGGCAGGCGACCACGGUAGGGUCAGCGACUGGGGUGAAGUCGUAACAAGGUAGC